UGGGGGAUUUUGCACAAUGGGCGCAAGCCUGAUGCAGCGACGCCGCGUGAGGGAUGAAGGCCUUCGGGUUGUAAACCUCUUUCGCUGGGUUGAAAGGCCAUGCUUUGGGUGUGGUUGAUUUGAACUGGUAAAGAAGUACCGGCUAACUACGUGCCAGCAGCCGCGGUAAUACGUAGGGUACUAGCGUUGUCCGGAUUUAUUUGGCGUAAAGGGCUUGUAGGUGGUUUGUCGCGUCUGUCGUGAAAUCCUGUGGCUUAACCAUGGGCUUGCGGUGGGUACGGGCAGGCUUGAGUGCGGUAGGGGAGACUGGAAUUCCUGGUGUAGCGGUGGAAUGCGCAGAUAUCAGGAGGAACACCGGUGGCGAAGGCGGGUCUCUGGGCCGUUACUGACAAUGAGGAGCGAAAGCGUGGGGAGCGAACAGG
rnacentral:rRNA from 1 species